GGGCGCGGCUUCGGCCAUUUGAGGGCGGUGGAGAUGGGGUGCGGAGCUCUGGGGCGGCGGUGCUGCCGCUGCCGGCGGGGCGGCCGUUGUAAGUGUCCCAUUGGACGUGAAGAGAUCAACCAUUGCGGUCCCAUGGCCCUUACUGCUGUCUCCUGCUGUCCUAGCUAGGAUACAAAGUAUAAAUCCUUACAAAUGAUGUUAGAAGAGUCAUUCUUCCCAAGAUGAUUAUUCAAAGAAUUUUGAACAUCUGAAUAGCUUUGAAGAGCUAUUUGGGCAGCAAUAUGAGCAUUUGACAGGGAAAGAAGAUUAGUAUGAGAUACCAGUACUCCUAAAAAGGAUCACUUACCGUUUUACCUGUGCUCAGUCUGAGUUCUUCCAAGAUGGUGCAAGAGGGAUAUUGCUUUAACUACCUGUUUUUUUGUGCAGAUGACUGCACCAGGAAUGAUUGUAGAGAGAAGCUAUACCUGCAGUUUUACCAACAGAUGCGGAAAGAAUGAGACACCUUCUGACUGUCAUUGUUGCCAUCAGCAAGGAGCGAAACACCUGCUAAAGGAUUUGGACUUCUGGGAUAUUCUUGACAUCAACCUGCAAAAUGGCCACUGCUUGGAGGGACGCCUGGCCUUUUGCCAGUGCCAGUGAGGUGUUUGGGUGAGGUAUGCUCAAUUUUAAUUUGGUUAAAAAGGCCAAUGGUCCUUAAACGUUCACAGUACCAGCGAGCGUGCAAGAACAGUGUGAUGAUAUGCAGCACCACACAGGUGAGUAAAGGAAAAAAAAAAAAAGGGCAAACUGAACCUCGAACAGGUAAAUAUUUAAGUCCUGCUGUGUUUUAAAAGAGCUGAUAUUGCUUCCCUUAUGGACUAAGCAGCCCGGCCAUUGAGGCGUGUUGUAGGGAGCCAGUGGAUCCGUCUCCGUUACGAGAGCCGGCCACCGCGCAGGAGAAGGGCCGGGGCCGGGCUGGGUGCCGCCUGCCCCCGCCAUGCGGCGCAGCCAGGGCAGGAGGCUUUGCCUCAGCCGUGGCAGUACAGGUGCUCCAGCCCAGACCGAUUUAGGCCACUGGUUGUGGAAAGCAAAGGAGAGAGCGUGAAUUCCCGCUUAGCUGCUUUUGCUGCUCGUUUUUUUAGUCGCCUGUGAGUUUCUGGAGGUGUCUGUGUUCUCCUUAGAGCUACUGGUUGUGCAUGGACUGCAGGGCUGUGUGAAACUGCUGGCUGGCUGAGGCCACCCACGGGCGAAGAUGACUGAAGCUUCACCAGUUGUCCAUCUCCUGGUCCUCAAAACUUCGUAUUGCUCCUGAGGAUGGGAGUAAAUACAAAGCGUGGCGGUGUCAGAGGCCCGCAGAAGGUGUGUUGUGGACACCAAAUGACUCUCGAUGCAUCCUUCGAUCAAUCUGCUGUUUAUUUUCUGAACUGCGUAGUUGUGCAGUAGUCACUCGAGGCCUACAUCAUGUUUUACAAAGAAAAUGUAUCAGAUGAGAUUUUAACCAGAAUCCUGCUCCAGUGAUCAAGUAGAAAAAGGAAAGAUAACUUUCAUCUGUAGUUAAGGCUGACAUAUGGCCCAGAGAGCUUGAAUUAUUGAAUGCUUUUCAUAUUGCCAGUACUACGGUUGAUUUAGAAGUCCUCAGGGCUCAUGUGGUGGUAUAUUUUAAAGGCACUGUAUUUUUCUCCUUGCACUCUUACAACUUCAGCUGGAUUUACUUUUCUGACAGAAAACUUGGAUUUAAAGUAUUUUUCAGACAAACAGCAGUGCUACUCUCACCUGCUUUUGAACUUAAAUGUUGUAUCUGGAGUAAAUGAAAAUGUUGUUGAGCUGUAGUCGUUCUGCAGAGGUCUGGCAAAGUUUGAGUAACCAAGGCAAGAGAAGGUGACUUCCUCAUUUAAAAUGUGUGGUUCGGGGCACAUAACUUCUUUUUGCAGUGUACCAGCAUCAUGGCCGCGUUUCAGUCUGAUACUUUCCCUCUUGCCAUGCACCUAAGGCGACAGAGGCGGGAAGAGGAGUGCUGGCAAAGGGAGCAGGAGGCUGCCCAGCUCCCUGGCUGGUGGCUGCGCUGCGCCUUGCUGGUCAGAGCUGCUGAGGGGGGAAGACACCUCUCGCUGCCAGCCCUUCACCAGAAGCCUGGGAACUGAACACAAAUCAUGGAGAGCAAAGAGGCAUCUGAAGCUGCUCUCCUGCCUGAGCAGAUCAAAGUGCUGCAGAGAGCCCAGCAGCUGCUGCAGCCCAACCGAGGGGGAGGAAUCGGUGCCCUCGCUUUGCCUUUUAUUUCCAUGGGCAAAAUGAGCCUGGUGUGCUCUCUACCCACUGCAGACCGGGGAGAAAAGUGCACUGCUCCCUCUGCCUGUGUUUUUCUUUUAUCCUGUUGCUUCACGAGCUGGCAGCUAGUGAUGGGCAGGUGAGCCAUGUGCCAGGGACAGGCAGCUAACCUGCCCCACCUGGCAGGGUUGCCUGCUGCUGGCAGUGUGUUGGGAGGAGGGCCCUGCUGCAGGUAAGAGCUUCUUCAUGAGACAUUUGUCUAAAGUAAUCUAUAAACUGCAAAAGCAGGCUUCAAUUAAUGCAGUUUUGCUUGUGCAUAUUGUUAAAAGGCUGUGUGUAAAACCUGGGCACAGUGGGCUUAGCUGUUUCUGUGCCUUGUGGUACCCAGGUGUGGUAUGAAUCCUGGGUAGGCUGUGGGGAAACCUGUGUGCUCAGUCCCCCUCAAGCACUCACAUGAGCUGUAGGAUUGAGAAAGAAAAUUUACUGGUUUAUGAGGGUGAUUUCUAGUGUUCUCCAAAUGCAGAGUGUGAGUAGGGAGGCCGGGGGUUAUGUACCUGACUGCGGUAUGGUGGCAGUAAACUUUGGUCUUUGUAACAGAUGUGUUGAAAAAAAUACAAAUAUUGGUUGGCUUGUUAAUUGCUGAGUGAUGAGUGCUGUUGCUUAAGUGUCUGAGUGCAUGAUCAUGAAAGCUUGAUGAUUAACAAUUUUUAUGUUUUUAGAUACAGUUCUUUUAAGCAUUUCCUAUUUCUGUAUUCUUUUUCAAACUGUUUUUUCAUGGUUACCUGUGAUACAUAGGGUUGGGCAUACACAAAUACUUUGAUAGGUUUUUAGUUUGCUGGUUUUGUUUUAAUGAGUUUUGCUAAAGAUGAGUGCUGUGUGCGUACCAGGCAAGAAGAUGUUUCCUCUUGUGAUAUUAAGUUAUUUACUUGGUUUUACUUGGUCUGUGGGCUGAAUAAAUGGUGUGAGCCUAAA